CUGCUGCUCGUCAGUGCAAAAUGCAGAGUUUGCAUGCAGCCUUAAUUAGAAGUCUCCGCAACCUGCCUUGCGCCGUUCUCCAUGCACCAUGCGCCGCGGCGCUGCGCUAAGACGUCGUUUCCUCAUUCCGAGACCAACAUCCUACAUUCGUCUAAACAUAGUUCCUCUACUGGAAAUAGACAGCGUGCGUCUCACAAAUUCACCCUGCGACAGUGUCUUGCCAAACGCAGAAGGGCUGGCUCUGCUGUGGGCUGCAGGGCUGAACUUCCCCCAUCGCUCCGUCCCAUUGAUCUUUCCCGUAAGGCCAGCCAUGCCGAGGAGUGCUGCUGGGAGCCCCUGCUUCAAACUCUCGUAUUUACUCUUCGGAAUUUGGAGAAAAGUGCAGUUGUGGGCGCAACCAGCAGCCUCGGUCGAUAAUGGCCCCGGUCCUUUUGACCCCCCCUCCUGGCUAAUAAAGUGCUUUUUGGCUUUGGCGCCUUCUCCUCAAGUCUUCGGAGGCAGUCUCAGGCCACAGCUAACAUUGGUUUCCAUUCUCUGUUCUCGUAAAUAGAUUUCAGUAAUUUGCUCUCCGGAAUUUGUGGCGGAACAGUAUUGAAUAGAAAAUAUAUUGACUUAUUUUGCUUUCAGUUUUUUAAGGCC
rnacentral:lncRNA from 1 species